GGGGCUGAAACGGUUUCGACGUCCUGACGAAAGCCAUCCAUGCAGGCUGGGAGUGAGUCCGACCCCAUUAAAUCAGGCUCAAAAAACAGUAAGUGCGAACAAUAUCGUUCCCUUCUCCCGUGCCCGCGUAGCUAUCGCUGCGUAAAUGCCGGGGCUUACGGAUUGGUGCCACUACGGCCGUAAGCAAACCCCAGUGGAUGCUCCGGCAAACUUCCUCUAUCAGGUAGCCGGCUAAGACUCGGUAGAGACUCCCGUUACCCGGAAUAAGUGGUAACCCCCGUUUCAGGGGUUAAUGAAGCUAAGCCUGUGAACGAAUGGUAAGCGAAUAGUCACGGAUGGACAGGGGUUCGACUCCCCUCAGCUCCACCA
rnacentral:tmRNA from 1 species